CACAAGUGCCUCAAUACCCAGAAGGAAGUACCAAAGUGUACCCUACAAGGACAGACAUGUAAAGAACAACCCAUGUGCAAUCAAGGCAAACCUAGCAUUAACUAACAUUGAACCUCUCUCUUGGAGGACUGUUCACAUGAGCACCCUUGGGAAGGACCUGGACAUCAGAUGCUCUAAGCUGACAGUCAACUGAAAGGCACAGGCUACUCAAGAUGCUCAGAGAGGAGACCAUGAAAGCUGGAGUCCCGGCAGAGUGGAUCCUGGCUCCUAGGAUGAAGGGGAGCUGCCGGGUUGUAUCUGGUACAGACUCCCACCAAAGAAAAUGAAACAUUUCUCUACACUUUUAGUCACAAAGGCCCAAGGAGAAAUACACAGUCUUCCUCCUGGAUGUCUGUCAGUUUUAUUCUUCUGACCUCAACCUUUGGCAGGAGCCAGCCAACAUGGAAAAGCAUACUCGGAAAUAACCAAAGAGAAUCUUUCUGCCAGCCUCCUGCUCAGAGGAGACCCAGGCUCUCACUUCUUUCUUUGCAUAAACCUUCACAACCUUUCUACGCUCACAAUUUGUUUACCUCGGUUUUCUCUGUAUUCCACGCCCCUGCACCAAUUCCAACUUAAGUGGCCACCAUUUUUCUACGAUUCAGGGACGAUGUGAUCAGUUACCUCAUGGACCACAGCAGAAUCUCCAGCACCAGGGAGGGCUGGCUACAGUGUGCUCCCCAGAAGCAGGCUGACACAGGAGUGUCCGGUCCACGCACCUAUCUACCCAGUGUGUGACCCAGUGACCUGCUCUAUUGCCACUUGCUUCCACAGGUGGGGCUGUGCCUGUGUUCAUCACUGUAUAAGUAGGGAAAUCCUGGUAACUCACCCAGCUCUCUGACAGUGGAAGUAGAAGAUUUGACUGAAGUACAGAGGAUCUCACUCUGCCUCAGCUGAGGUCCCUUAUUCACAAGCAGCUGGGACUCAUUCCCACCUCUGGAUGAGACACAGAAAGAUACCACAAUGAAUGCACAUUUAUAUGCGUUGCCUGGAGUGUGGAAAAUCAGGAGAGAGACUUUUGGAACUGCAUCUCUGCUGUUUCUGUGUGAGCGCGAUCCCCCUCAGCAUUGUGUAACCUCCUUCCCGAAGAAAGACCAGAAGAGGCAGCUCUGAGACUCGAGAUAGUGCUGAGCUGACCCACUCAGAGCUCUCUGAAGACAAUGUACUUGGCUGUCUGCACCAUUUAUUAAACAAUGGAAC